rnacentral:rRNA from 1 species
ACUCUUUGGACACUCGUAAACAGGUGGNGCAUGGUUGUCGUCAGCUCGNGUCGUGAGAUGUUGGGUUAAGUCCCGCAACGAGCGCAACCCUCGUUCUAUGUUGCCAGCACGUAAUGGUGGGAACUCAUGGGAUACUGCCGGGGUCAACUCGGAGGAAGGUGGGGAUGACGUCAAAUCAUCAUGCCCCUUAUGUCUUGGGCUUCACGCAUGCUACAAUGGCCGGUACAAAGGGCUGCAAUACCGCGAGGUGGAGCGAAUCCCAAAAAGCCGGUCCCAGUUCGGAUUGAGGUCUGCAACUCGACCUCAUGAAGUCGGAGUCGCUAGUAAUCGCAGAUCAGCAACGCUGCGGUGAAUACGUUCCCGGGUCUUGUACACACCGCCCGUCAAGUCAUGAAAGUCGGUAACACCUGAAGCCGGUGGCCCAACCCUUGUG